rnacentral:lncRNA from 1 species
AGGAUCCAGGGAGAAAGAAAGGAAGCAGUGUCUCAUUAUAAGGUGGUUUGUAAUUCUCAAUCCUCAAACCUUCUAUGUACGAGAGGUUAAUAAUCUGUCUGAUUAUGAAUCAAGAGGAAAUGUCAAGAUACCAAAUUCAGUGAUUAGAGAAGUCUUUCCUCAUCUCACCUUUGUUCCUCAUGGGAGAAAUCAGAGUUUUUUUAAAAAACAAAACAAAACAAACAAACAAACAAAAAAAACCCCUCAGAAAUAACCUUGGAAAAGUACAUUAAAAAUAGGAAAGCAACCUGGCCAUUUCUUUAUUGAUUUUGGCUCAGAAGACAAGAAUGCUUCUUUCUUUUUAAAAAGAAAAAUCUGGCAGAGGCAGUACAUGGCACUCAAAUUCUGUUUAUAAAAAUAUUCUUUUAGGCAAAGCAUGAAGCUUCCUAACAGAUAGUACUUUUGGUUUUGCCUUUCUGUCCAAAAGACCUAUAAGAUUUCGCAUAUUCAUUUAAACACCUUCUAUAGCAGAAGAAUAACAGUUUUAUCUAUAGUGCCACUAUAAGAAAUCUUUUUUAGUUUUUCAUGCAACUCAUAUUCUCUACAUGCCAUGACCCCUGGAUAUUCACUCAUCAACAGAGAUACAUGUGUGGUAUUCUGAGAAAAAGCUCUUGGGGAAAAAAUACCUGAUUUUUGUUUUUUAAUUCGUUGUGUGACCCUGAAGAUGAAAACCACAGUCUAAAAAGAAUAGAAUAGAGAAGUCACAGUGACCCUAGUCUGUAUUUUUGCUUCUGAAAGAGUUUACAUUGGUAUUCAAUAUUAUAUCUAGACUUUCUCUUCCCCGAGAAAAUAAUAAAAUUGAUUGCAAGUUUAAAAUGG